UACGGGGGGUGCGAGCGUUGUCCGGAAUCACUGGGCGUAAAGGGCGCGUAGGUGGUUUGAUAAGGGUGUGGUGAAAGCCCGGGGCUCAACCCCGGGUCUGCCGUGCCGACUGUCAAACUCGAGGGCUGUAGAGGCAGACGGAAUUCCGGGUGUAGCGGUGGAAUGCGUAGAGAUCCGGAGGAAGACCAGUGGCGAAGGCGGUUGCCUGGAGCUUUGCUGACGCUGAGGCGCGAAAGCGUGGGAGCGAGUCCGG
rnacentral:rRNA from 1 species